rnacentral:rRNA from 1 species
GACGAACGCUGGCGGCGUGCUUAACACAUGCAAGUCGAACGGAAAGGCCCUGCUUGCAGGGUACUCGAGUGGCGAACGGGUGAGUAACACGUGGGUGAUCUGCCCUGCACUUCGGGAUAAGCCUGGGAAACUGGGUCUAAUACCGGAUAGGAGCCAUUUUUAGUGUGAUGGUUGGAAAGUUUUUUCGGUGUAGGAUGAGCUCGCGGCCUAUCAGCUUGUUGGUGGGGUAAUGGCCUACCAAGGCGGCGACGGGUAGCCGGCCUGAGAGGGUGGACGGCCACAUUGGGACUGAGAUACGGCCCAGACUCCUACGGGAGGCAGCAGGGGGGAAUAUUGCACAAGGGGCGCAAGCCUGAUGCAGCGACGCCGCGGGGGGGAUGACGGCCUUCGGGUUGAAAACUCCUUUCGCUAGGGACGAAGCUUUUUGUGACGGUACCUAGAGAAGAAGCACCGGCUAACUACGUG